rnacentral:rRNA from 1 species
UACGUAGGGUGCGAGCGUUGUCCGGAAUUAUUGGGCGUAAAGAGCUCGUAGGCGGUCUGUCGCGUCGGUCGUGAAAACUUGGGGCUUAACCCUGAGCUUGCGGUCGAUACGGGCAUGACUGGAGUUCGGUAGGGGAGACUGGAAUUCCUGGUGUAGCGGUGAAAUGCGCAGAUAUCAGGAGGAACACCGGUGGCGAAGGCGGGUCUCUGGGCAGUAACUGACGCUGAGAGCGAAAGCGUGGGGAGCGAACAGG